CCAAAUACACUAGAUCUAUGAGCA
rnacentral:siRNA from 1 species